UACGUAGGGGGCAAGCGUUGUCCGGAUUUAUUGGGCGUAAAGAGCGUGUAGGCGGCCAGAUAGGUCUGCUGUGAAAACUCGAGGCUUAACCUCGAGAUGUCGGCGGAAACCAUCUGGCUAGAGUCCGGAAGAGGAGAGUGGAAUUCCUGGUGUAGCGGUGAAAUGCGCAGAUAUCGGGAAGAACACCCGUGGCGAAGGCGGUUCUCUGGGACGGUACUGACGCUGAGACGCGAAAGCGUGGGGAGCGAACAGG
rnacentral:rRNA from 1 species